rnacentral:lncRNA from 10 species
CUCGCUCUGUCGUCCAGGGUGGAGUGCAGUGGCGCAAUCUUGGCUCACUGCAACCUCCGCCUCCCGGGCUCAAGCCAUUCUCCUGCCUCAGUCUCCCGAGGAGCUGGGACUACAGGUGCACACCACCAAGCCUGGCUGAUUUUUGCAUUUUUAGUAGGGACAGUAUUUCACCAUGUUGGUCAGACUGGUCUUGAACUCCUGGCCUCAAGCGAUCUGCCCGCCUCGGCCUCCCUAAGUUUUCGGAUCACAGGCGUGAGCCACCACGCCCAGCCGGAUUGCAAUUUUAAAUAGCAUAAUCAGAGAGGCUUAAUGGAAGAGGUAAUAUUUGAGGAAAGACCUGAAGAAGGUAAGGGAGUAGGCACUGAAGAUAUUGGGGGAACAGUGCUCCCCGAGACAUCUGGGCAGCCAGGCACAGGGACCACAAGCAGAAAAGGGUCCUGUGAGGGUUUCGUGUUUUCUUUACAAUUUGUCAAUGUGAACACCAUGCUCACACCAAAGAACAGCAAGUUUCCUACCUGGCUUCUCUGCCUUCCUCCUUCCUUCCCUCCCUUCCUCCCUCCUUCCUUCCUUUCUUCCUUUCUUCCUUCCGUUCUCCCUUUCUUCCCAAUAUGCCCCACUUCAAUGGAUGAGUUUUCCAGCUCCCUCGGCUGCUUUCUGCAUUGCACAUGACAAGUAUCCACUAAAUAUUCAUUCAUUAGAAACAGCCAGACGAUGCUGAGCCUCUGUAGCUCUCUAGCAUCUACCAUAGCACAGAUCUCAGGAAGACCCACAAGAUACAUUUGUCAACAAGUCGAUGGCCUCCUAUGUGGCCCUGUGCUGUGUGCUGAGGCUACAGGAAGGAACAAAGCCUCCUAUCUGGGGGCCCACUUCUGCAGUUAAGUUCAUCUGGUGUCCUUUGUAAUACUGCAAAGAGAACUUCUUACGCUGUAGCUGAAUGAGAGAAAUAUCCCAUUCCAAACCUCUGAUGGAAACUGGCCAAGUCAGCGUGUGAGAGGAAGAAGGAAGUGUGUGGCACCUCCUGCCUCGCUCUCUUCCUCCUGUUCCGGCCAUGUGAAGUGCUGGCUCCUCAUUUUCCUUCCACCAUGAUUGGAAGCUUCCUGAGGCCUCACCAGAAGCAGAUGCUGCCAUGCUUCCUGUACAGCCUGCAGAACCGUGAGCCAAUUAAACCUCUCUUCUUAUAAACUACCCAGUCUCAGGUACUUCUUUAUAGCAGUGUGAGAACAGACUAAUACAAUGACUACUGAUCAUAGUGGAUUGGCCACUGGAGAGAAAGCUGAUGGAGCAGAGAGCACUUGGGAAGAAACCAUUAAACACUGAAAGAGGAAGAGGUGGUGGAGAUACAUUGGAGAGAACAAAUACAAUAGACUUAUCUGAGGUCAAAUCAACAGAACCCAGCAACGGAUCAGACAGAGAGAGAAAGCAGAAAGAGUGAAAUAAAACUCCACGGUUCUAGCCUGAGUGAUUAAGGGCAGAGCAAUGUUCUGGACCUUGCUGGGAGAUUCAGGAAGAAGAGGGAAAUCUGGGUUUAUUUCAAGGAGGGGUGGGAAGGAGAGAUGAGAUGAAGGAGGACCAGGAAAAUAAAAUAUUUCAAGUUAGCUAUGCUGCAUUGGAAGUGCUUACCGCAUAUCCAGCUGGACCAAAAAAAAUUUUUUUAAUUAGCUGGGCAUGGUGGUGCAUUCCUGUAAUCCCACCUACACAGAGGACUGACGUGAGAGGAUGGCUCACGCCCAAAGGUUGAGGCUGCAGUGAGCUACGAUUGUGCCACUGCACUCCAGCCUGGGUGACAGAGUGAGACCCUGUCUCAAAAUAAAAUAAAAUAAAAUAUUUUCUAUCUGGCUCCUUUCAGAAAAAGUUUGCCUACCCUUGCACCGGAAGCAGGAGGGAAAGAGAUGGGCUUGUUGGAAACCAGGAAAGGAGAAAUUGACAGAGCUGCAGGGAGCAAUCCCUUUCCACCUUCACCCAGGACUGAGAUCAUGUCAUACAAAAGCCCUGUGUUGUUCAGAGGACCAGAGGGACAAAGUCUCGCUCUGUCACCCAGGCUGGAGUGGAGUGAAGUGGUGUGAUCUCGGCUUACUGCAACCUCUGCCUCCCAGGUUCAAGCGAUUCUCCUGCCUCAGCCUCCUGAGUAGCUGGGAUCACAGACGCCUGCCAUCAUGCCUGGCUAAUUUUUGUAUUUUUAGUAGAGAUGGGGUUUCGCCAUGUUGGUCAGGCUGGUCUCGAACUCCUGACCUCAAGUGAUCCACCUGCCUCGGCCUCCCAAAGUGCUGGAAUUACAGGCAUGAACCACUGCACCUGGCCUCUAUUACCUUUAAAAGUGCUCCUUGAAGAGAAAAUCCACUCUGCCGUUUCAAGCUUGACUUCCCUCCCCAGUCUUAGAGACUGAUCACUGGGGCAGAGUGACAUUUUCCCACAAUGCUGGCUCAUUAUUUUCCUCCUGGAAUUGCAAAUCCAAGGGACAAGUGGUACAGCCUGCACCCAUCCAGAAGGGGAGGGAAUCCCACCAGAGGUGCCCUGAAACAAAGAAAACAAGUAACUUCAAAACCACAUCCUAAAAUCUGGACCUGUGACAGGACAGAUGGAACUCUGGAUUGUUUGAUUCUAUCAGCAGAACAGAGGAAGGAAAUGUUUUAAAACGAGAUUAUGUUAUUUUCCCCAGUUAUUAUGAAGCCUUCCUGAAAUGAACUUUAAAUAUCGGCCACCACUUUCAUGAGGCUGAAUGGGAUUCAGCAAUUAGGAGCGUUGCAGGGAAGUGUGGCAGGGCAGAGGUGGGACAAAUUGCAGAUCCCUGUGGGGUCCCUUGGUUAGGUGACAAUUAGUCUAUAAAACACAGCUGUGUGUGUUAGGGAGGGAGUGGUGUCUUUAAAAAGCUCUGUGCCCAAUAGGAACAUUAAUUAAAGGGUCUUUUUUCAAAGGACAUUAAUAAUAAUGAAUAAAAAGCCUUCUGCGACUUUUGCCCUCAAUGAGAAAAUGACUGACAACUACGUAUCGUAUAGAGAAGAAAAAAUAUCCUAGAAGUUAUGAAAAUUUCCCCAAAAUGAAAUCAUACAAUAAUCCUUUAUAAUGCUGGGCUUCCUAGACAGAAUUUUCCAAAGGAAGCUGUCUAUAUCAUCCAGCCCCAAGCCCUGCUGAAUAAUACACGAUAGCUGUGUCAUUAGUGUCCUCUAGCCAAAUAACUGUCCAGGCAGGAUGACAUGGAUGUGGUCGCUUGUCCCCUCUGCGUGGAUGUCCUCCCACACAUGCCUCUCAAUGCCAGGGUUCCUCAAGACCCUCUGAGAGUCAGCUCCUGUAUCCAACUGCUUACCUGAUAUUGCCUCCAAGAAGCCUUAAAACACCUGAAAUGUAAAGGUCUUCCCCAGGAUCCUCCCGGUCUUCACAUCCCUAUAAAUGGCGUCAACACCCAUCCACUCAUGAAGCCAGAACUUAGGAUUCAUCCCCAAUUCUUCCCUCUCCCCCGACAUCCAAUUCAUCAGCAGAUUCCGGGGCUUCGCUCUCCCAGUGAUCUCUCCCAUCUGAGGCUUUCCCUCCAGUGGUUUAUUGCUUCUAUCGUGGUCUAGGUAAGCAUCAUCUAGACUUGCCCUGGACUAGUGCAAAAGUCUCCUGAGUCUUCUCUCUUCAUCUAUUCUCGGGGGCCACAGCCAGACCAUUCUCUACAGAGUUAAAAAGAGCGACUUCUGAAGGAGUGAACAGACCCGCAUCAUUGCCCUGCUUAAGAUCCUUCAGCGACUUCCCAUAGCAUUUAGAACACAAUGCAAACUUUUCUGUAGCCUUGCAACCCCUGCUUGAAUUGGUCUGGCUAUUUCUCUAGCUUCUUCUCAACCCCUCUUUCCUCACCUGGUAUUCCAGCAGCUUCAGGGUUUCACAGUCUUCAGACACUCUUGUGCCUUCCCACUUCUAAGCCUCUUGUGUUUUCGGUUCCCUGUGCCAGGAAAGUUCACCCACUGCUCCCCAACUUCAGAGACCACCAUUUUGGAUACAUAGCAUUGGCCUGACAUUCUUUUUCUUUUAACUGUCAGACAUUAGGGCUGACCUAACUGUCACUACUGGAGUUCAAUAUGGCCCCCAAAAGAGCACCCUGCCGCUGUAAGUUCUGAGCCCAUUGAGAAAUGAGACAAAGAAUCUAGGCAGAUGGAGACCAAAUGCAUCAGCUCUAUUUCUUAUAAAAUUGAUAUUGGAGAAUGUGGCAUAUAAUACCUGCAAACAAGUGGUUUCCUAAUACCAACCCCAGAUUGGAUUUACCCACCCAGUCGGAGGCCAUGCAGGGUCUGGGCAGACCCCCGAUGUAGGGGGGUCUCAGGGCCUUAGUGCAGCCCUCCUGGCACCCCCAGCUUCCUUGUAUGAUUGUGCAUGUUUGUCCCAUCAGUCCGUGAACUUCCCAAAGCAGACACCAGGCAGAAUAAAGAAUACCGGGGAAGGCUGGGCAUGGUGGCUCAUGCCUA